rnacentral:rRNA from 1 species
UACAGAGGGUGCAAACGUUGCUCGGAAUUAUUGGGCGUAAAGCGCACGUAGGCGGUUCGUUAAGUCAGAUGUGAAAGCCCCGGGCUCAACUCGGGAAGUGCAUUUGAAACUGGCGAGCUUGAAUAUGGAAGAGGGUCGCGGAAUUCCGGUGUAGAGGUGAAAUUCGUAGAUAUCGGGAGGAACACCAGUGGCGAAGGCGGCGCCUGGGCCA